ACCUGGGCAUGGGCACCUGCGGUGUUCAGCGCAACAGGCCACCCCACUGCCCCGGGCACUGCUCCCAUCUCAGACAUCUUUGGGACCAGCGCCAGGAGAGAGGAGAUUUGAGUGGGUCAGGAGGUAGCUUCUAGACUGUAAUCUGGAGCCCUGCUCUCUCUCUAGUUAGGGAGAAGUUUGGAAGUUGUCUGGGGCCACAAAGCAAGUGCAGAAGAAAGGUCCUUCUGCUACAGAGAUGAAUGUCAGUGACAGCCAGGGCAGGUGUGCUCGCAAGGGUUGCAGAAGUCCUGGGUAGGAAGAGAUGAAUUUACCCCAUGGAAGAGGAGGAUAGUCCAAGCUCAGAUCAAAGUCCUUCAAUCCACUUGACCUCAGAAUUCCAGUUCCCCAGACCCGUGGGGAGGGGCUGCCUGCCUUGUUUUUGCUGGCAGAGCCUCUGCAAGGCCUCCAAACAAUUCGCACCACCCUUGUCCCAGGCAACGAUUCCCACAGGGUUCCCUGGGACAGCGGGAACCCUGACCCUUCUGAGGCCCUGGAAGGAAGGUCACCUUGAACUGAGGCGGAAGCAGACAGCCAUGGUCCAGGGCACGGGAGCCUUGAACUGGAAUAAAAACAGCUUCUCGCUUACAGCAUGACGAGGAAGGAUGAAUGGAUCUUGGUGAACCUCAGUUUUCCCCUCUGCAAAAUGGCCAUAAUCAUCUUCAUGAGGACCACAUCCUACACACAGGGCUUUGUCAUCCCCAAAGGGCUGUGGGUGGGCACAGAUUUCCUUCUCUGGAUUCUAGGGGGUGUUCGGAUUAAAGCCCAGGAGCACCACCAGAGCUGGGGGCCUCUCAAGACUCCUUCAGCUGAUGUCCUGACUUUACCGAUGAGUAUCCUGAGUCAGUAAGCAGCUCAGAUUGACCCUACACCAGAAAUGCUUUAAUUUCGCCACCGCAGGCCUCUUCUUUCCUGCCCCAAGCGGCCUUGGAACUUGACGGCCAAGGGUCCCUCUCGAGGUGGAGGAUCUGGAGGUUUCGGCCUUGCCAUCCACCACCACCUCGUUGGCACUCGGUCACGACAUCAAAUCGCCAGCCUCAUGGUGAGGGAAUUCUCCAUUCCCCUUGGACAUUGUUGGAAUUUUUCUGAGAACCUUUGCCAAAUAUGUGAAAGGAACAAAGCUGGAAGUGGAUGAGUGUCCCCAAGGACUAGCCUGAUUGGGAGGGGGGGAUUGGAGCGUAGCUCAUGUUUUCUGGCCUCCUUCUUUGCUUCACUCAAUGAACCGUUCAUUGUUUCAAUCAUUCCACACACGCUGUGUGUCGGGUUCCCGAACUCUGCAGAUGUUAUCCUCCUUCUGACGACAAUUGCCGUCUACACGUGCCUAUUACUGAGCUCGAUGCUGGGAUAUAUGCUUGGUUAGUUCUCCUGGAAGCAGAUCCAGGGGCAACAGUUUGAGGACAACCACGCUAUCUGGGAAGUGAUCCAGGAAGCAUUAUUCAGGGAAUGGGCUUGUGAGAAGAGGAAUGGGAAGAAGCCAAAGGAGGCUGUGCUGAGAAGUUUACUGCUGUGGGCAACGGGGUUCAUCCUGUUGGAAACGUCUCAAGAUGUUGUAGACCUUGCCUUGAAAUGUCCCACCCUGGAUAAGAGAGAUGAGACACAAGCCAUUGACUUUCUAGAACUGAAAAGGGGAUUUCUGCCCAUCUGUUUGCUCCCUGAACCUCUGGAAUGCAGACUCGCCCUUCUACCCCCCUUCUUCCCAUCAGCCUAAUGGGGUCAUUGCGAUUUGGUCAGCGCUACUGUUUACAGCAUUAGCACUGUGUCAACACUGUCGCUCUGUAGUCAACCAAACUACUCUUCCUUUCUGGCACAAC